rnacentral:ncRNA from 1 species
UAGUCAUAUGUUAGGAGGGCAUAUCCGCCGAAUUUAAGCAUAUAAUUAAGCGGAAGAAAAGAAAAUAACUAUGAUUCCUUAAGUAACGGCGAGUGAACAAGGAUUAGCUCAAUGGGAAAAUCCAGCUUCUCACGAAAGUGAAGGGCUUGAAUUGUCCAGUUUUCGAAAUUCAUCCAAUUAUCUUCCAUAAUAGAAGCGAAGUAAGCAGGAAUGCUUCUCCUUAGAGGGUGAAAGGCCCGUAGUUUUCUUUUAUUUUUGAUUUUUGGUUGUCUUUCUUUUGAGUCGUGUUCUUUGAGAUUGGAGCACUAAUUUGUGUGAUACAUUUCACAUAAAGCUAAAUAUGUGUAGGAGACCGAUAGCAAACAAGUACCGUGAGGGAAAGAUGAAAUAGCACUCAGGAAUGAGCAAUUAAAUAGUAC